CCUACGGGAGGCAGCAGUGGGGAAUAUUGGACAAUGGGCGAAAGCCUGAUCCAGCGACGCCGCGUGGGUGAAGAAGGCCUGCGGGUUGUAAAGCCCUUUCGGUGGGGAAGAAAAGCUUCGACCUAAUACGUCGAGGUCUUGACGUAACCCACAGAAGAAGCACCGGCUAACUCUGUGCCAGCAGCCGCGGUAAU
rnacentral:rRNA from 1 species